ensembl:lncRNA
CUCAGGGGGCAUUUCAUCGGUGUGUAGAAACAUCUGAUGGGAGGGGGAAGAGAAGGUGGAGCCACACUCCUCUCAGUGAAAAGUCAAGCAGCAACAGGCACAAAUUGAAAUGCAGCAAAUUCCAUUUAAAUGUAAGAUAAACCCUUUUUACUGUAAGGGUGAACAAACUCUGGAGCAGGUUGUCCUGAGAAGCUGUGGUUGCCUUGGAGAUAUUUGAAACAUUACUGAACACAGCCAUAAGCAACACACUCACCAUUGAGGAGGGAAGUUAGGUUCCUCUUCACAAGAGCCUUUCAGUCUCCGCUGUUCUUUGAUUCUAAGAACAAAGAAUGUUUUCCUGUGCUGAUAAUAUAUGACAUGUUCUAGUCCUGAAUAUAUUUGUUAUGUAUUCUCACGAUGUGUUUGGGAUUUCGACAGACUUUUAGCCACAGCAGUGUGAAUGCAUUGCCAUUAUAUAUUAGGGUGCGUAAAAUUCGUGUAAAUCUAACUGAGAUCAAGAGAUUGAAUCACCUGUCAUGCAGGAUUCUGGCGAGAUGCUGGCAGGAAAGCAAGCACUGCAAUAGAAGAGUAAUUGUCAAAUAACGACAUGUCAAAGCCCAACUUUAACCAGGUCUAAAACAUGUAGUACGUGCGACUGUAGAUACUUCGAUGUGUUUCUUUGGGUCUAGGAAAGAAAUUAAUAACCUACUGUAUCUUGUAUAAGCAAUGCAGGGGGGAAUUUGGACAAAAUGAUGUAAUGUUUUUGAAAGCAUGACAAGAAAAUUAAGGAUGAAGAAACUCCAGAAUGACUUUCAUGAAUGAAAAGAACCUGUAAUUGUUUUCCAUCCCUUGACAGACGUUACUUAAACUGACAUACUAUAUCAUGUAAUAAAGCUCACAGGGGAAAUACAGAAUUAUGAGCAAAUGUAUAAACCACUAUCUUUAUUGUAAAAAAAAAAUCUAUUCUUCACAAAAAGACAAAAAGAGGAGGGAUGCUUUUUAGGAAGAACUUGAUGUAGAUUGCUAUAAAAGCAUUUUCAGGAGUGUAUAAGCACAAAUGAUCUAUUAUAAAGGAAGAAAUAAUUUUAAAAUAACAGAGAAAUUUCCAUCGUAUCCCAACCACACACAACUUUUCUGCACCUCCUCCUACCAUUGUAAUGCCUGUGAGACUUACCCAUUUAUUAAAGUUAAACCAAGAGAAUUCUCUCCUGCCUUCGUCUGUGUGGAGAAGUAGAAGAAUGACAAGGGCUGGAACUGGCUGUUGUUGAGAAAUGGCGAGUGAAGAAAUGAGUUUUCUGUCAUUGUACAUAUUCUCGGGUCACUUCACAGGGAACUUUACAGCCAUGGAAAGCUGCAAAGAAUGGGGGUGUACACCCCUCGCCAUCUUUGCUUCUGUGUUUGACAGUUCCUUGGUUUCAAGGUGUGUGAAGAAUGUGGAAUGGAGGCAUAGGGAGCAGGUAGAUCUCUCAGGUACCCCAGACCUGCCUUAGUACCAUAGGACAGCCUUUUAGGUUUCAGUCACAAUGAAUGACAAGAUCUCAGGAAAGCAGGGCUUUUGCCAACUUCUUUUACAGAACAAGUGGAGCACUGUAUUGAACAAAUGAAACUAUAGAAAAGGCUCACAGGUUUCAUUCCGAGGUACGGUCCUUUAAAGGAAUGAGGUCUAGAACGUAUGGUUUGCCAUCUCCAAGUUCAAGUCUUGUUUGAUGUGUGCCUCUCCCUGAUCUUUGGCUUCAUGUUAAGUACAAAGCUGCCACCGCAGAGUUACUGAGUAAUGGUGAUGAAUAGGCAGAGCGUAGCAGUAGACAGAUGAUAAAGCAUUUUCCCCAGAGUCAAAAGUGGUGUCUAGGGCACACUUUACCAAUUUGGCUUUACACACACUGCUGAUACCUUUUCAAAGGUUUAAUCUCAACUGUUUUUGAGUGGUGUGGGUGCUCUUUUGUGCUGAAGAAGGAAAAGACUUCCCCUUGCUUACUUUUGCUGUAGGAGACAUUAGAUGUUAAACAAAGUAAAAAGAAAGGCAUUUUAACAGAAGACUCAGAAGUAUUUAAUUUCUUUCUGCUUAUCAACGUUGGCUUUUUGAUGAAUUAUGUGAACUUCUGGGCAAAGAGUGAUCAUUAAUAGCAGUAAGUUGUUAGCAUUUGCCAGAACUUUGAUAGACACGAAUGGUACUAGGGCUCUGUCUUGCCAUUAAUCCGCACAGAUUUGACACUGAUACACUGAAGCAACAGAAAAAAAAAAAAUCUGAAGUAUUCAUCAAUAUUAAAAUACCUCCAAACAUUUCCAGACCUUCAUAUUUGGAAAGCCUCCACGGCUCCCAUUUCAACCACCACACCGUGUUGGCUUCGGAGAGGCUGUGUAUUGACAUUUUGCAGAACAGCCUCUAAUCGUCUGAGGAAGCUCUGGAUUGAGAUUAGUAUCCACAGCAGACAGGGAUCUACAGACACUGCUGUGGGUGAGUAAUGCUGCGGGCGCUCGUCCCAGCUCAGGAAUGAGUGGAAUGCGCCCCUUCUGCAAGGUGUGGGUGAAAUAACAUCACUGGCGUGGAAGUGGGGAGCUGAAGGAGCUGACUGCAGGGAGAAGUUCACAGGCGUGUUUCUGUAUGCACGGAAUGGCUGGUUGGCCUGGAAAAAAAAGAGAAAGAAAGAAAAAUAAAGAGAGAAAAAAAAAAAGAUCGGGAGCAGAUAUUUUAAUUAAUUAGCGCAUUUAUUUGCUUCUGUUAGCAUAAAUAAUCACCUUAUUGCAUCACACAGAAAGUCAGAGGAACGGUUCCACUUGGAGCCAAAUGCAAAAACUCAACAUAACAGCGAUAUUCUAUGAGCACUCAUCAUGAAUUUCUUUGUUUGAUGAACCACUUCAGCAAACCAAAUCCCCGACUUUCAAUUUCUGCUUAUCAAGGGCUCACCUCAACUACAGCUGAGACAAGAACGAGUUAGCUUACGACAGACCACGCAAGACAUACGUUUUCUGUAACGACCGGCAUCAGCGAGCAGCCUGCCCGAGAGCCGGGGGGGGGACCUCCUGGUAAGCAGGGAGCCACCCGCUGACUUAUCCACGGAGGGACCCGGGGCCGCGUCCCUUCUCUCGCUGCCUGCCGCCGUUCAGCCCCCCCUCGGGGCGGCCGGGCACAGGUGUGACGGCAGGCCGCGUCUGGCGCCAGGAGGGGGAGCUCCGCGCAGCGCCCGCGGGCGGCACCUGGCAGCCUGCUCGCCCCCCCAGCUCCGCAGCCCGUGCCAGCGCUCUGGGGGCUGCUCGCUUACGUGCUGACUGGAAAACUGGGCCUUCUCACUUGUCUCGUCCGUGCCAGUAGGCAGCGGUGAGGAGAAACGCGUGGCUGACAAUAUCAAAGAGCUACGCGUUAAUGAAGACCAGACAGAAGAACUUGGUUACGGCCGAGAGUUGUUUCCUUGUUCUUUAAAAAGCCCUUUUGUAAGAGUGCCCUUUAAAAACAUGUACAUACUAAUAAAUCGGAACGCGAAUAAUAGAAUAUAAAUUCGAGCUGGGGCAAUUAGUUUAAGGCGACUUGUUCACACCUGUCACUCGAGAGUUGUUCACAUUACUGUGCUUGCAAAAACUCAAGUGCAAAUUUAGAGCUGGGAAUGCAAAGCCUCAAUAGGAUGAAACCACCCAGCUUGGCAAACUGCUGCGUGCGUGCAACACUGGUUUGGGCAACGGAAGAAAAAGCUAGGGCUUUUCUGGGACCCAGACGCAGCAGGGACCCGGAGUUCAGCCUCACAGGUGUCUUCGUGUCCACCAAAAGACAGAUCACAUCGCUUUUUUUUCUUCCCAGCUUUGGAAGUAAGAGAUGAUCUAAGCAAAAAACCCACAAAACUCUUCAGCAGAUAAAGCAGUGAGAGUCUAUGGACGGCACUGCAACUGGGGCUCACUGUGGGGAGCCUGAAGUUCCCAGCCUCCUUAAAGAUGAGUUACAAUAAGGAGUAUCAUCUUUUUUUCCUCCUUUCUUUGAGAAAAUCUAAAUUUUGCUUCAGAAAAUGGAAAUGUAUUUGGAAAACCUUCCUUUUUUUUUUUUUUUCCCCAAAGAAAAUGGAAUCAUUUCUUUCCAAUCCACACUAAAUGAUAGAAUCAACAAAAAAUCCCCUCGAAUAUUUCACCAGGGGAAAAAAAAACCUUCACUGAUUUCCACAGGGUCAGGAUUUUAUCUUUGGCUGAUAUCUGCCUACCGAUGCCACAUUGCUCUGUACCUCUGCCUGGUAGAACGAACAAGAACUGUGCUACCGAUCCGAUCAGCCACCCCUACUGACCUCUUUAAGAUGUUAUCCAGAAUCCAUAUUGAGCGCUGCUGAACCAGGUUUCCUUAUCAGAAAUAUAGGCUUUCACACAAGAAAUGUGUGCUGUCACAGUUCAGUAGAUGUAUUUAACGUUAGGGUCUCUGUAACGUAAACACCAGAUUUAUUUUUCUUAACUUUUUGGAGAUGUUCAGAUCAAUGCCACUCUAUGACUGAAAUAUUUAUGGCUUCUGCAGAUUCCGAUAUUCUGCUCUCCCUUAUGGGUUCAUGAACUACCACACUAAAACAUAAAAGCCUCCCUUUUUUAGCCUUUGCCUCCCCAUUAACGCACGGAACAAUCAGACAGCUUCCAAAUCUUAUUUCAGUACCUACGAGUGUCAGAUGGUGCCUAAGCAUUCUGAAUGCAUGAAAUUCAGUCUUGACAGUUGCAUGAACUUCCGUCUUGACGGUUGAUGGUCCUCCAUAUGUUGCCACUGGAAGAACAACUUCUGAAGAAUAUUGAGACCGUGGCUUUUAGCCAGUUGUUGAUGAGGUUCUGAGGGACCGUGGGCUGUUUUUAGGAGCUUACUAAAAGUAGCUGAGAAAACUGAGCCUACUGUCAGGAGACACGAGUGAACAUCUGCAUUCAAAAGCCUUCGCGGUGAGCGUUUGGGAAAAGAAGUCUGGAAGUCCUCGGUUUGGGUGAGCAAGAAGUGAGGGUCAGAAUUCAGAACUGGGAGAGGUGUUCUAUUUUCAACUACCAACUGUUAGUCAGGAAGAGGAAUGUCAAAUUUGAUCCUGAAGACGCUCUCUGUAACCUGCUGAAGCCCAUCCGCAGCGUUUGGGCUGGCAGUUACAAAGUCCCUUCUGACAUUAAAGGGAAUUCUGUUUAUGCUGGGAGUUUAGGAUUAAUCUUUCUGUCAAAUUAUCAACUCGAACUGUCAAAUUGAUGCAGCGCAACGGCACUUCAUUACAAAAUCUAUAGCAAGCGUUGCAAACAAGUAGUCUAUUAUGUGUUUUCAGAUGUUUCACUAAACAAUAACCAUUCAGGGCAACAUGGUUAUUCUGUGUAGCAAAAGGUCCGAGAUUUUCACUAAAGUUGUGUUAUCAGCACUACGGAGAAACCAGUGAUGUGUCCCUAAUGCAAAAAUUCAUUUUGCCUUCUUCCUCAGAGUGAUUUCGUGAAUGAGCAAGGUGCUGGUGCCUCAGAGCAGGAAGGUUCUGUGAGGUUGGCUCUCAGAGCUUUCAAACCUGCAGCUCUGACGCUACACGACGGUGCUUAUAAGCAACUUCCCCUCGUGCUGCCUAUCCCGUCCCUGCCAUGGGAGAGAGAUGCUGAGAUCCUGGGAGCACCUCUUGCGUUUGAUGAGAGGUUGCGCACGCGGACUCAUCGGUAACAGAAUCCUGUGAAUAGAGAAGAAGGACGUGGUUGCUGCUGGUGGUGCGGUGCAGCAGGAGGAAGCCCCGUAUUUUUGGAGCUUACCUGUGGAGCUGCGAGUUAGGUCCCAGAAGGUUCAGAAUACAUUACAUUUUAAACAUACAACAGGCAAGAAAAGACUAAUCUUGCACACGAAGGGACCUGGUGUUCCCAGCUUUGGAUUCUCUCGUGCUGCCAGGGGAGAAGCAGCACCUCGCCUGGCCGCGGCCGUGACCCCGCUGCUCUGGAGCGCGCUGGGAUCCCUCAGCGGGCUGAGGGCUGCUGCUCUCCCGCCAGUGACGCUCUCUACUCUCGCAGCUGAGGCCACACAAAACCCCGCUUUCUUCCCAUUCCCGGUGCCACGGGGGGUUGCGCUCCCCGUCCCUCCCCACUGUGCCCCGGCAAGCGAGGCUCCCUUCAGCCCUGAAGCGAUCAAAGGAGUUUUGCUCAGUAUUGCGCUCAGAAAACCACCGGCUGUUUUGCGAAGUGUAAACGAGACGUUCUCGCACGCAGCACCAACUGAUUUCUGUCGGACUCAGCCGGGGUUUCGCGAGGAGUCCGUUCAUCCCCACGUGGAACUCACUUCACCCAUCUUUCAGCCGCUCUCCCUCGAAAACGCGCCGUUUCACGCCGCAGCGCGACCCGCCCGUACGAUCGCGACGCCGACCGCGGGCACCCCGGCCGGGCGGGCAGGCAGGCAGCUCCUCGAGGGGGG